UUGUUUCUGCUGAACUGCUUCGGGGAGGCCAGAGGGCUAAAGCUCACCCAGGCAAAAUCCUCUGUCAUCCCGAUAAACUGCGCUGGGCUACCGUUAUCGGAGGUGCUACAAAAUUUCGGCGGCCAACUGUCAGAUUUCCCAACAACUUAUCUCAGGCUGCCGGUCUCCCCAAGAAAGCUGCGCCUGGUGCACCUUUAGUUCAUCAUCGAUAGGGUGCGCUCGCGACUGGCGGGAUGGAAAGGCAAGCUUAUGAGCAUGGCCGGCAGGCGGGUGCUCAUGUGCGCCGUCCUCACUGCACUACCCGUCUUCGCUCUGUCAGUCCUCAAGGUGCCAAUGAAGAUAAUCAAGGAGGUGGACAAAACGCGCUAG
rnacentral:rRNA from 1 species